rnacentral:lncRNA from 10 species
UUUCUUUUUUGAUUUUGCUGCAGCAAAAUGGAUAUUCAGCACCAUCUACCUCUCAACAGCUAUAAAGGGAAGUAGUUGAGAAAAGACCACUUUCCAAUUUUCCUACAUCCCUUGGGAAGAAAGGACAUGACACUUGGGUUCAGAUUUUUUAAGGCCCAAGUGUUGACUAGUCUUCCCUCCUCUAGCCAAAGCCCAUAGGUAGUAAACAAAUUCAGUCAACUGGUUUCUUACAAGCCUUCCUUAAGCAUUUCAUGAAGGAUGCUUUUUGGAUUAACGGCUAAUAUUGACUUCAGUUCCCAAAGGAAAUUGAACAUUUCCAUGUACUUCCCAAAGGGUAAAUGAAGAAACCCAUGUUGAAAAAGUUAAAUCUGCAUUUCUGAGAAAUAACCAUAGUUUGUGUGGGAGGUGUCCUUGGCCUUCACUCUCAUGCUCCUUGAGGCGACAAUGUCAGUGCCAUAGCUGAAGGGUAAAUGGUGUGUGAAUGAGGUGCCCUCAGCAGCAACUUUAGACAAGGCUGACAGCGAAAGACAAGCAAAAAUAAAAUCAAGGUAAAAUACUGCCAAUGCUUCUAUUGCUAUUUGUAUCAUGUUACCCUUAAUGAUUUGUAAUUUUACAUUUAAAGUUAUUAUCUUUUGGCAGGCACCUUGACUUUAAGUGUCUGUUACACCAAAGGUUAUGGCAAACUGUGUCUGCAGCCCACAGUAAAAUCCAGUUUAAGGCUCUCCACACUGGAGUGCAGCUAUCCAGGUAGGUAGUGCCACCAGCCUAAGGUCACACCUUCUUCCUUGGCGUGAGGUUGCCCUACGUUGGCACUUAUCAUGGUCACUGCUUUGGUGACUGUCAUUCUGCCCAGGGCUUUAAGUGACCACCUUCCACAGACUCCCCCAUUUCAUACUACAGAGAAAGCAUCUUGUGUCUUACCUUCCCUCCCUUAGUGUGCUAGGACUGCCUGGUGAGUGGCACUAAAGGAUCAUCCCUUGGUUCCUGAUAUCUAGGAACCCACAUAUGCUUAAAAACAGCAAGAUAACUCCCCAGAUUGAAUCUCUGCAGGCUGAAAAGUUGGAUGGAUUCCAACUAGAGCACCAUUUCCCUAAUCCCACACACUUUUAAGGGACUAGAGACUGAGGAAUGUUCAGGGAUUAUCACAGAAUAUUCUGGUCCUUUUGUUGGAGCCUGAAAGCUCUUUAGAGCAAUUGAGUACACAGAAAUUCAGCCAGAAUGGGAGCACAAGCAGAAGCAGACCAAGCUAUUUCUCCCCUGAACACACACUCUGCACACUGACAGGUACAAAUAUAGCUAAAAGAAAUGACGAUUACAUAAGUUCCUAGCCAGUGUCCAGCACAUAGUAAGUCUAUCAGUUAGCUCUUCCUGUUUAACAAAUCUUCCCUAAACUUAGUGGCUCAAAACAACCACCCUUUAGCUUACGAUUCUGCAGUCUGGCAUAUUUCUGCCAGCUUGCCCAUGCUCAGAGGCCAGCUGCCUGGUGGGCUAGGGCCUGGCUGGACUAGGACAGCCUCAGCUGGGGCAGCUUCUCUGUGUUUCUCAUUCUCCAGCAGGCUAGCUUGGGCUUGUUCACACAAGUUUCCAGAGAGAGAAGUAGGCAAGAGCUUCAGAACCGUACAAACAAGGUCCGCUGCAUUCUACUGGCCACAGUGAGUCCCUAGGGCAGCCCCAGUCGAAGGAGCAGAGAGGUAGUCUGUUCCUCUUGAUGGAAGAGAGGCACAGAGUCAUUUAGCUUAGGGGUAAACAUAUAGACGCAGUGAAGGAUUGUGGCCACUUUUACAAUCUACCACUGUAGCUACCAAUAAGUUCUGUGUUUACAGUUUUUCAGCCAUUUCCAAAAGGAAUUAUAUUGAUGUGUUAGUUGACAAGCCUACAAUGAAAAGAUAGAUGGGAAAAGAAGACCAUCAGACAGGGGCUCCCCUGGUCUGGAAUGUUCUUUCCCGUCUUAUUUGGAAGUUAGAAAGUGGCUAGUAACAUGGCCAGCGCCUGUGGGAUCAUCCUCUUCCUCAAGGUGGCUGGAUAUGUGGAGACAAGCACGAAGAAGUCCAGGCUCUGUCACGACGUUGCUGACUGGCUUCUGUCACAUUUUCAGGCAUCUUUUAGCUAGAGGUGCGCGUGUGACACCACAUGGACUGUGAGAAAUAGUCAAGUUCAGCCUAGUGACGCUUCUGGCAAAGCUUGUUUUCCUGAUUUUUAAAAAAGGAGUUGGGGGAGUGCCAUGCCUUUUGUCCUUCCUCCCUCCUCCUGCCUGGAACAUGGAUGUGAGACCAGGAAGUACAGCAGCCAUCUUGUGACCAUGAGGACUAAAGGCCUGCGCUGAGGAUGGUACAGUAAAAUGAAAGAAGCAGCCUGGAUGCCUGAUGAGCAGCUGUGCCAGCCCCAGGGUCAUGCAAAUCAGUGUCAAUCAUUGUGGUUCUGGUUUUCUCCUAUUUGUAGCCAAAUAAAUUCCUUACUGAUAUAGGCAGGGUCCUUGUUGGUUCCAAAAAAAAGUGGAUUCACAGAAAUAUAACUGAGAGAACCAUGAAUUUCUAAAGAAGUCCUAGAAAUAGAUCAGUCAGAGAAGUUGUCCAUUUCAGGCAGGGGUUUCUACUGUAAGUUGCUUGGAUGGAAAAUAAAUCAGUGUUAAGGAGGUGAGAAUGCCAUCACUUGAAUUGUAUGACUAUAUCUUAUUAAAUCUCAGAUGCCAUCAGUUGUAAGGUAUAGCAUUAUUUUACAUAUCACUAUGAGAGAAGAAAAUGCUCUCAAGACAUAUCACUGAUUGUAAGAUGCAUCCACCUUGAUUUCAGAGAUUUUAAAAUGUGAAAAAAGGGAGGGACAUCUUAGGAUCAGUGAAAUAUGGCACAUAUUUAUUUGCUUCCUUGAUUCCUGCCUGCUGUGCUCAUUAGACCAGAGACACUGUCUGCCAUGCUCUCUGCCAAGUCCUCCAUACCUAGAAUUGGGCCUGGCAUAGAGUGGGGUCUAUAAAUAUUGGUUAAUUAAUAAGUUAACUAAUAAGUUCUAGUCCUUGCUUUUCCAAUAACUUCCCAUGCUACCCUGGCUGGAGAAAGCAUUUCCCUUUCUCUGUACCUCAUUUCUCCAUAAUCUAGUUCAACUGACCCUCACCAGAACUGAAGAAACAAAAAGCCCCAAAUACAUGCAAAGCGGACCUACACUCUGCAUCACCAUGGUGACGCCUCCCAGGGUCCCAGAGGGCAGGGAGGCCUCAUCUUCCACCAUCCCUAGAAAUCUCUCUUUCCCCAGAGCCCAACUCCUUCUAAAGCUCUGUGGUUAACCCUUUCCAGGCAAGCCUUUUCCAACACUCUGUUAGGGUUACUAAAUGUGCUCCCUACAAAUGGACUAGGGCCAAGGAAUUAUGCAAGAUCCUUCAAGCAAAGAGAUGGUAUUUUGUAACUUCCCUGAGUUUCUCCAGGAAGAUGAAAUGCACAACAUAUUUUAGAAUAAUAUCAACCUACAUAUGUCAGAGAGGUAGUCUUGUCUGACCAAAGCCCUUGAGCUGGUGAGGGGCGGGGUUCCAGGUGCCCCUUCUGCUGCACUAGCAUUGUAUUCAGAAGUAAUAAAGAUGAUGGCUUUCAUGUAAUGAGUGACGAACCCUUUGCAUAUAUUCCUUCAUUGAGUCUUCAACAGAAACUUAUGGGGUAGGAAGUAUCUUUAUCCCCAUUUUACAAGUGGGGAAACUGAGGCAUAUAGCUGUUAAGUAGGUGGCAGAGCCUGGCCUCGAAGUCAGGUGGGGUAGCACCAGAGUUUAUGCUCUUAACCACUAUGCUCUA